GAUGAACGCUGGCGGCGUGCCUAAUACAUGCAAGUCGAGCGAACGCACGAGAAUCUUGCUUCUCUCAUGUGAGCAGCGGACGAGUGAGUAACACGUGGAUACCCUACCUAUAAGACUCAGAUAACUUCGGGAAACCGAAGCCAAUACCGGAUAAUAUUUUGAACGGCAUGGUUCAAAAGUGAAAGACGGUCUUGCUGUCACGUAUAGAUGGAUCCGCGCUGCAUUAGCUACUUGGUAAGGUAAAGGCUUACCAACGCGACGAUGCAUAGCAGACCUGAGAGGACGACCGGCCACACUGGAACUGAGACACGGCCCAGACUCCUACGGGAGGCAGCAGUUGGGAAUAUUCGACAAUGGGCGAAAGCCUGACCGAGCCAGGCCGCGUGAUUGAUGAAGGCCUUCGGAUCGUAAAACACUGUUAUUAGGGAUGAAAAUAUUUGUACGAAACUGUGGAGAUCAUGACGGUACCGAAUCAGAAAGCCCCGGCUAACUACGUG
rnacentral:rRNA from 1 species